rnacentral:misc_RNA from 1 species
CUUUGACAAGGAGCCUUCACCUACGGAACAUUGACAGAUGAACGUAUCUGACGAAUUAUCCAAAAAAACAAUUAAGUCCUUCGUUUCACUCUUCGUCUCAAGUCACUGUCAAGAUGUUCGUAGACCCAGUUUUACCAUGGGGCUGAGUCUUUAUGUUUUACUUGAUAAAUCACAAAUAUGAGUUGGUGGAUAUUUUUGACGAUGGAAACAAGCUCUCGGUGAACACCGCCAAAAUGCUCCGACAAAGGGAGUGAGGGGAAAAAAAGCAUCCUAAUGUUUAUUAAUUUUAUUUCAAAAGCUUUAAACAGAACUUUUCGGUGUGGAAACUACCGACUCCCCACUCGCCAUUCCGGUUGAAAUCCACAAACACACUCUGAUCUUUAUAUCAAUGUUUACGUAGAUAAAUACACCAGUGCCUAUUUUUGUUUUUGUUUGGUUGUUUAAAUAAUGAGAUUUGGUGGAGAUUCUUGGAUUCUAACCCUAACCCUAACCAAAGACAAUAAUGGCAAGUUUCCCUCGGUGACACACUCGGUUCGCUAUUGGUUUCCUAUUUGAACUGCUAUAGUCACAUUUUACUUUGUGUCUCGUCUCCGGAAAAGCUCCACCGAAGAUCCAUACCUCCAUACCCCCUGACACAGCUACAGUCUCUCUUCAGAAUGUCUUCCACACCAAGUUCCUCCAAAAACCAGCAACAACAACAACUCUAACAUCAGCCAGAAAAUCAUUACAUUUGCUGAGCCUAAGAAACAUCAACAAAUUUCCACCUUUCACUUGUGUUUAUUGCAAUUAGAAUAUAUUCACUUCCAUAAGUGUUUUGUCUUGCUGUUACUUAAAACUCCUCUUGCUAGAGUUUACCGCAGUCAUUUCCUUUGAGUUGUGUAUCCCCUGCUGAUCUUCUUCCCCAGCAGAUUAAUGCAUUCUAUGAUUAUUUACUCACAUUCAGUUACUUACUACCCCCAGUCUGUCGUUCAUUUAUCAUAACCAGCUCUUGUUCUCACCUCUUCCAGCUGUUCAUUUUUUACUCCUCCAGUUUCUUCCAUCUUGAGAUAUUUGUUACAAGCUAUCGACCACUUCUCACUCAAAGUUAGCUGGGAAUGGGGGUGAAACCCUUGUAACCUCAAAAAUAUCACAACAUAUCCCCCCCACCAAAAAAUGUUAGCAAUGAUGUAUAUUUUAUUGGUUCUUGAUGUUCGUAAGUGAGGCCAACUUGAAGAAGCAAGGUUUGAGCUGUGGUUCUUGCAGACAUAAAUAUAAUUUCCUGCUGAGCUACCACAGAAAUAAGAAUAGAAAAUUAAAAAUAAACGACCAGAUUAAUCAAGAACAUAAAAACAACAAAAGACAAUGCAUUAAAUUU